AUUGAACGCUGGCGGCAGGCCUAACACAUGCAAGUCGAGCGGAUGAAGGGAGCUUGCUCCUGGAUUCAGCGGCGGACGGGUGAGUAAUGCCUAGGAAUCUGCCUGGUAGUGGGGGAUAACGUCCGGAAACGGGCGCUAAUACCGCAUACGUCCUGAGGGAGAAAGUGGGGGAUCUUCGGACCUCACGCUAUCAGAUGAGCCUAGGUCGGAUUAGCUAGUUGGUGGGGUAAAGGCCUACCAAGGCGACGAUCCGUAACUGGUCUGAGAGGAUGAUCAGUCACACUGGAACUGAGACACGGUCCAGACUACUACGGGAGGCAGCAGUGGGGAAUAUUGGACAAUGGGCGAAAGCCUGAUCCAGCCAUGCCGCGUGUGUGAAGAAGGUCUUCGGAUUGUAAAGCACUUUAAGUUGGGAGGAAGGGCAGUAAGUUAAUACCUUGCUGUUUUGACGUUACCAACAGAAUAAGCACCGGCUAGCUUCGUG
rnacentral:rRNA from 1 species